rnacentral:rRNA from 1 species
CUACGGGGUGCUCCAGUGAGGAAUUUUGCGCAAUGGGGGAAACCCUGACGCAGCGACGCCGCGUGGGUGAUGAAGGCUUUCGAGUCGUAAAGCCCUGUCAAGUGGGAAGAAGUGCAGGUAGGCUAAUACCCUAUGUGCUUGACGGUACCACUAAAGGAAGCACCGGCUAACUCCGUGCCAGCAGCCGCGGUAAUACGGAGGGUGCAAGCGUUAAUCGGAAUUACUGGGCGUAAAGGGCGCGUAGACGGCCUGGUAAGUCUGGUGUGAAAGUCCACGGCUCAACCGUGGAAGUGCAUCAGAUACUGCAGGGCUUGAGUAUCGGAGGGGAAAGUGGAAUUCCAGGUGUAGAGGUGAAAUUCGUAGAUAUCUGGAGGAACACCGGUGGCGAAGGCGACUUUCUGGACGAAUACUGACGCUGAGGCGCGAAAGCGUGGGGAGCAAACAGGAUUAGAUACCCCAGUAGUC